GGAGGAAUGGCAGAGCGGUUUAACGCGGCAGUCUUGAAAACUGUUGUAGGUAACACUACCGGGGGUUCGAAUCCCUCUUCCUCCG
rnacentral:tRNA from 1 species